rnacentral:piRNA from 1 species
UCCGGAUAGAGGAGAAAAAGACUGCCCUGGU